rnacentral:snRNA from 1 species
AGCUUUGCUCAGUGGCAGCAUCAUAGCCAAUGAGGUUUAUCUGAGAUGAGGUUAUCGCUAAUUCAGAACUUUCCCCAAUACGCCCCGUGAUGACAUGCAAUAGAGUCGGCAUUGAUAAUUUGUGACAGUCUCUAGAAAGA